rnacentral:rRNA from 1 species
AUUGAACGCUGGCGGAAUGCUUUACACAUGCAAGUCGAACGGCAGCACGGACUUCGGUCUGGUGGCGAGUGGCGAACGGGUGAGUAAUACAUCGGAACGUGCCCAAUCGUGGGGGAUAACGUAGCGAAAGCUACGCUAAUCCCGCAUACGAUCUAAGGAUGAAAGCGGGGGAUCGCAAGACCUCGCGCGAUUGGGGCGGCCGAUGGCAGAUUAGGUAGUUGGUAGGGUAAAGGCCUACCAAGCCGACGAGCUGUAGCUGGUCUGAGAGGAUGAGCGGCCACGCUGGGACUGGGACACGGCCCAGACUCCUGCGGGAGGCAGCAGUGGGGAAUUUUGGACAAUGGACGCAAGUCUGAUCCAGCCAUUCCGCGUGCAGGAUGAAGGCCCUCGGGUUGUAAACUGCUUUUGUACAGAACGAAAAGGCUCUGGUUAAUACCUAGGGCUCAUGACGGUACUGUAAGAAUAAGCACCGGCUAACUACGUGCCAGCCGCCGCCGUAA